GGGAGUUUGGCCGAGUGGUUUAAGGCGUCAGAUUAAGGUACUCUGAUAUCUUCGGAUGCGCGGGUUCGAAUCCCACAGCUCUCA
rnacentral:tRNA from 1 species